rnacentral:rRNA from 1 species
AACGAACGCUGGCGGCAGGCUUAACACAUGCAAGUCGAGCGCCCCGCAAGGGGAGCGGCAGACGGGUGAGUAACGCGUGGGAAUCUACCCAUCUCUACGGAAUAACGCAUGGAAACGUGUGCUAAUACCGUAUACGUCCUUCGGGAGAAAGAUUUAUCGGAGAUGGAUGAGCCCGCGUUGGAUCAGCUAGUUGGUGGGGUAAAGGCCUACCAAGGCGACGAUCCAUAGCUGGUCUGAAAGGAUGAUCAGCCACACUGGGGCUGAGACACGGCCCAGACUCCUACGGGAGGCAGCAGUGGGGAAUAUUGGACAAUGGGCGCAAGCCUGAUCCAGCCAUGCCGCGUGAGUGAUGAAGGCCCUAGGGCUGUAAAGCUCUUUCACCGGUGAAGAUAAUGACGGUAACCGGAGAAGAGGCCCCGGCUAACUUCGUGCCAGCCGCCGCCGUAACAC